rnacentral:misc_RNA from 1 species
UGAUCCAAGAUGGCUGCGCCCAUAGACAUGCGCGCUUUCUAUGUGCUGGCUAUAUCUUAUCCUCUCUUUAGUCAAUAUAUGGCUAUUCCAUCUAUACUAGGACCUGUCUCCGCAAGUGAAUCGCAAACUGUGCCAGUAUCCGGAUACGUCGAAUGAUGACGGCUGCUCGUUCCGGUUCACGUACGAAUUCGACGACGUGUCCAAUAUCAUCCUUAGGGCGCAGACGACGCAGGUAUGUCCGCAGCCGGUGAACCUGGCCGCCGUGACUGGUGGCGUCAUAGGUGGAAUCAUACUCGCUGGCCUUCUGCUGCUGCUUAUAUGGAAGCUACUGACAACGGUACACGACAGACGAGAGUACGCCAAGUUUGAGAACGAGAGGCAGCUAGCCAAAUUGAGAAGGGAGGAGAAUCCUCUCUAUCACGCAGCUACGACGACGGUGCAAAACCCAGCGUUUGGGAGCUCGAACAUCCAGUGAAAUGUAAAAACAGUCUCGCCAACUUGGUUGAGAGAUGCAAUAGAAUUUUGUCACACUAGUUUAAUAGUCGAAUGUUAUUAUCGGGUUUACUUCAACCGAAAAUACAAAAUAAUGUUCGGUAAAUGCAUGUAUAUUGCCAGUUAUGGGUAAACAUACCACGAUUUCCUUAUAUAUGGCGACAUACAUAACUUCAUAAAUCUGUUAUUAAACGAGUAAAUAAAUCAUAAUUAUUAUUGAUAUAAUAGUGCUGUUAUCACUAUGAUGCUAGUGUCCGUUUCUUGUACAAAAUUAGGGCAGGCAUUUCACAAUAAUGAAACACGCGGGCACACGCAAGCACGUACACCCGCACGACGCGCACAUGCGCGCAGGUUUAGACGUUUAUAUGUUUAGUAAGUAACUUGUCUCAUUCGAUUUCGAAUAUUCCAAUUUCCGAUUAGAAAAAUCUUUUAUUUGUAUUUUUUGUUAUUUCUCGACAACCCGCAUGUUAAAUAGUUUAUGGUCUGACAUCCGCCUGUUCCAAACCGAAAGACGACACGUCAUAUCACUGGCAGCUUGCUACCACACGGUAAUCAUUUUUCAAAACAAACGAGGUGUAAGGUGAAUCUAACGUCAAAUGAAGACUAGGCUGACCGAUGCUUACAAACUUGUUCACUGCUUCACUGUCUAGGUAAUUACAGAGUCCACGUUUUCGUAUCAGAUACAUUUGAAUUUUUGAAUAAAAAAUUUAUGUUAUAGAACAUA